UACUCUGACUGUGCCUUAUCGCACCACCGGCUGCUACAUCGAGAGAGGCCCAGGGAGGAUGAAUACGGCAAAGGAACACAAGAAUAGUAGAAUAAAGAUUCCUCCGUCAUCGAGAUCUUUUCGUCUUUUUAAUUCUCAAAAAGUAUUACAAAAUGUCCUGAAAUAAUCCUGGAUUUGCUCAGGAUAUCUUGAAGACGUUCGAGAUUCUGGCAAGUAUUGUUUCGAACUAAUCACCGGGAGUUACGCAGCGACUGUAGGAAGAGAGCGGCCGAGAUUUCAGCCUAACACAAAAAUCAGCAGUACGUGUCGCGCGACAGCGAGACAGAUGUCACGAUAACAAAUGAAGUGAAAUUUUAGUUGAAAAUUUGAUCUGAUCUUUUCGACUGACCCGAUACUAACUGAAUGAGACCUCAGGUGUGCGUUUGCUAUUUUGUAGAAGAUGCGAUCGUAGACGUAAAGGAGACCAGGUCCAGAGAACCUCAGGAUAACCUUAGAUAGGUGUUUUUUAAAUAUUUAUCUCGAGAGUAACAGUGGAUAUAAUAUUCACUGGUCCGAAUAAUACUACAGUUAAAAAAUAAAGAAAAAUAAUUUAGUAAAGUAAAUUUUCCAGUCUUUCACGAAAUUUUGUAUUAAUAUUUUGAUUGAAAAUAAAAUUAAGCGACACGUUA